rnacentral:rRNA from 1 species
AAAAAUGCACAUACUGUGAGCUCGAUGAGUAGGGCGGGACACGUGGUAUCCUGUCUGAAUAUGGGGGGACCAUCCUCCAAGGCUAAAUACUCCUGACUGACCGAUAGUGAACCAGUACCGUGAGGGAAAGGCGAAAAGAACCCCGGCGAGGGGAGUGAAAAAGAACCUGAAACCGUGUACGUACAAGCAGUGGGAGCACGCUUAGGCGUGUGACUGCGUACCUUUUGUAUAAUGGGUCAGCGACUUAUAUUCUGUAGCAAGGUUAACCGAAUAGGGGAGCCGAAGGGAAACCGAGUCUUAACUGGGCGUUAAGUUGCAGGGUAUAGACCCGAAACCCGGUGAUCUAGCCAUGGGCAGGUUGAAGGUUGGGUAACACUAACUGGAGGACCGAACCGACUAAUGUUGAAAAAUUAGCGGAUGACUUGUGGCUGGGGGUGAAAGGCCAAUCAAACCGGGAGAUAGCUGGUUCUCCCCGAAAGCUAUUUAGGUAGCGCCUCGUGAAUUCAUCUCCGGGGGUAGAGCACUGUUUCGGCAAGGGGGUCAUCCCGACUUACCAACCCGAUGCAAACUGCGAAUACCGGAGAAUGUUAUCACGGGAGACACACGGCGGGUGCUAACGUCCGUCGUGAAGAGGGAAACAACCCAGACCGCCAGCUAAGGUCCCAAAGUCAUGGUUAAGUGGGAAACGAUGUGGGAAGGCCCAGACAGCCAGGAUGUUGGCUUAGAAGCAGCCAUCAUUUAAAGAAAGCGUAAUAGCUCACUGGUCGAGUCGGCCUGCGCGGAAGAUGUAACGGGGCUAAACCAUGCACCGAAGCUGCGGCAGCGACGCUUAUGCGUUGUUGGGUA